GCUUGCUUCCGCCGACGACCGGCGCACGGGUGCGUAACGCGUAUACAAUCUACCUUAUACUGGGGUAUAGCCUUUAGAAAUGAAGAUUAACCCCCCAUAGUCUCUUAGAGUGGCAUCACUUCUAGAGUAAAGGUUACGGUAUAAGAUGAGUAUGCGUUCUAUUAGUUUGUUGGUGUGGUAACGGCACACCAAGACUACGAUAGAUAGGGGCCCUGAGAGGGGGAUCCCCCACACUGGUACUGAGACACGGACCAGACUCCUACGGGAGGCAGCAGUGAGGAAUAUUGGACAAUGGAGGCAACUCUGAUCCAGCCAUGCCGCGUGCAGGAAGACUGCCCUAUGGGUUGUAAACUGCUUUUAUACAGGAAGAAACACCUCUACGUGUAGAGGCUUGACGGUACUGUAAGAAUAAGGAUCGGCUAACUCCGUGCCAGCAGCCGCGGUAAUACGGAGGAUCCAAGCGUUAUCCGGAAUCAUUGGGUU
rnacentral:rRNA from 1 species